AGUGAACGCUGGCGGUAGGCCUAACACAUGCAAGUCGAACGGCAGCACAGUAAGAGCUUGCUCUUACGGGUGGCGAGUGGCGGACGGGUGAGGAAUACAUCGGAAUCUACUUUUUCGUGGGGGAUAACGUAGGGAAACUUACGCUAAUACCGCAUACGACCUACGGGUGAAAGCAGGGGAUCUUCGGACCUUGCGCGAUUGAAUGAGCCGCUUUCGGAUUAGCUAGUUGGCGGGGUAAAUGCCCACCAAGGCGACGAUCCGUAGCUGGUCUGAGAGGAUGAUCAGCCACACUGGAACUGAGACACGGUCCAGACUACUACGGGAGGCAGCAGUGGGGAAUAUUGGACAAUGGGCGCAAGCCUGAUCCAGCCAUACCGCGUGGGUGAAGAAGGCCUUCGGGUUGUAAAGCCCUUUUGUUGGGAAAGAAAAGCAGCAGGUUAAUACCCCGCUGUUCUGACGGUACCCAAAGAAUAAGCACCGGCUAACUUCGUG
rnacentral:rRNA from 1 species